rnacentral:rRNA from 1 species
CUUAGCAUAUCAAUAAGCGGAGGAAAAGAAACCAACAGGGAUUGCCUCAGUAACGGCGAGUGAAGCGGCAUCAGCUCAAAUUUGAAAUCUGGCUCCUUCGGGGUCCGAGUUGUAAUUUGUAGAGAGUGCUUCGGGGGAGAGUGCGGUCUAAGUCCGUUGGAACACGGCGUCAUAGAGGGUGAGAAUCCCGUAUGCGACCGCGGCUCGAGCCCGUGUGAAGCCUCUUCGACGAGUCGAGUUGUUUGGGAAUGCAGCUCAAAAUGGGUGGUAAAUUUCAUCUAAAGCUAAAUACUGGCUGGAGACCGAUAGCGCACAAGUAGAGUGAUCGAAAGAUGAAAAGCACUUUGGAAAGAGAGUUAAACAGUACGUGAAAUUGUUGAAAGGGAAGCGCUGGCAACCAGACCUGUCCGUAGGUGAUCAGCCGCUGUUCUCAGUGGUGCACUCGCUCUGCGAUCAGGCCAGCAUCGGUUCUGGCGGUCGGAUAAAGGCCUUGGGAAUGUAGCUUCUCUUCGGGGGAGUCUUAUAGCCCUCGGUGCAAUGCGGCCAGUCGGGACCGAGGACCGCGCUUCGGCUAGGAUGCUGGCGUAAUGGUUGUCAGCGACCCGUCUUGAAACACGGACCAAGGAGUCUAACAUCUAUGCGAGUGUUUGGGUGUUAAACCCAUGCGCGGAAUGAAAGUGAACGGAGGUGAGACCCCUUAAGGGCGCAUCAUCGACCGAUCCAGAUGUCUUCGGAUGGAUUUGAGUAUGAGCAUAGCUGUUGGGACCCGAAAGAUGGUGAACUAUGCCUGAAUAGGGUGAAGCCAGAGGAAACUCUGGUGGAGGCUCGCAGCGGUUCUGACGUGCAAAUCGAUCGUCAAAUUUGGGUAUAGGGGCGAAAGACUAUUCGUC